GCCUACGGGGGGCAGCAGUAGGGAAUUUUCGUCAAUGGGCGCAAGCCUGAACGAGCAAUGCCGCGUGAACGAGGAAGGUCUUCAGAUCGUAAAGUUCUGUUGAAGGGGAAAAAGAGCGGAGAGAGGAAAUGGUCUCCGAUUGAUAUUACCCUUCGAGGAAGUCACGGCUAACUACGUGCCAGCAGCCGCGGUAAUACGUAGGUGGCGAGCGUUAUCCGGAAUGAUUGGGCGUAAAGGGUGCGUAGGCGGCCUGCUAAGUCUGGAGUGAAAGGUACCGGCUCAACCGGUACAGGCUCUGGAAACUG
rnacentral:rRNA from 1 species